UGAAUUAAUGUGAACUGCWACCUGCCAUGAACAUCGACAACUUGAUUGCACAUUGCGGCCAUGGGUUAGCCUGUGGCCACGCCUGUCCGAGAGUUGG
rnacentral:rRNA from 1 species